GGAAAAAAACACCCACGGGACAUUGAGGGGUUGGGAGAGGUUGGCAACGGGAAAGGACUUCUCCAUCUUCUCUGGUUUCAUCCACAGCGAUUGAGACACAAAAGCAAAGGAGGUUAUUCUGCCGCGUCCCCAACCCCGUAAGGAUGGAAGUGGAAGCCCCAGUUUACCCCGCUCCGUAACGACGCCAUGAUGGGGACGGAUGCAAGAGGACCCCACGCACUUCUCCUAAUUAAUUACACACAGCAAUCAGCACUUAUUAAUUUCUGCCUAUGGAGGUAACCAGGCGGAGUUUCUGCACGCUCCGAUGGGGCCCUGUUAUGGCGGGAGGUCACGUGAUCACCAAAAUACCAAAAUUUCCAAAUUUUGGUGGUCACGUGACCUCUGAAAUUUUAAAAUUGGAAAUUUAAGCGGAGAUAUCCGGCCUCAAAUUGCUGAGAAAAAAAAAUAACCAACCAAAAAAUGUUUUAUUUUGGGUUGUUUUGAUCCCCAAAGGACCCACCAACGCCGAGGGGAAGAAAUUGAAGUCAUCUGACCCAAAUCUCACCUCUUUUCCCCCAAAAAACCCUAUUUUCCUAUUGGAUGCCUCCAUUACGGCCCUGCCUCUGCUGUCACGUGACCACCAAGAUAUCAAAUCUCCAAAUUUUGGUGGUCACGUGACCUCUGAAAUUUUAAAAUUGGAAAUUUAAGCGGAGAUAUCCGGCCUCAAAUUGCUGAGGCA